GGUAACAGGAAGCAGCUUGCUGCUUCGCUGACGAGUGGCGGACGGGUGAGUAAUGUCUGGGAAACUGCCUGAUGGAGGGGGAUAACUACUGGAAACGGUAGCUAAUACCGCAUAACGUCGCAAGACCAAAGAGGGGGACCUUCGGGCCUCUUGCCAUCGGAUGUGCCCAGAUGGGAUUAGCUUGUUGGUGGGGUAACGGCUCACCUAGGCGACGAUCCCUAGCUGGUCUGAGAGGAUGACCAGCCACACUGGAACUGAGACACGGUCCAGACUCCUACGGGAGGCAGCAGUGGGGAAUAUUGCACAAUGGGCGCAAGCCUGAUGCAGCCAUGCCGCGUGUAUGAAGAAGGCCUUCGGGUUGUAAAGUACUUUCAGCGGGGAGGAAGGGAGUAAAGUUAAUACCUUUGCUCAUUGACGUUACCCGCAGAAGAAGCACCGGCUAACUCCGUGCCAGCAGCCGCGGUAAUACGGAGGGUGCAAGCGUUAAUCGGAAUUACUGGGCGUAAAGCGCACGCAGGCGGUUUGUUAAGUCAGAUGUGAAAUCCCCGGGCUCAACCUGGGAACUGCAUCUGAUACUGGCAAGCUUGAGUCUCGUAGAGGGGGGUAGAAUUCCAGGUGUAGCGGUGAAAUGCGUAGAGAUCUGGAGGAAAUACCGGUGGCGAAGGCGGCCCCCUGGACGAAGACUGACGCUCAGGUGCGAAAGCGUGGGGGAGCAAACAGGAUUAGAUACCCUGGUA
rnacentral:rRNA from 1 species